CACCAGACCACACACCGUCCCGUAAACAAAAAGACGAAAAAUAGCCUGCCCUUCCUUCCUCUCUUCUCCUCCUCCCCAAAAUUCCCCUCUCCUUCUCUCGCUCCCGUCGCGACGGCGACGACGACGACGAUAAGUUCGUUGCAGGUGAUGGUACUGAUGUUCAAUUGAUGAAUGAUGACUGUUCCGAUGGAUAGUACUGCUGUUCCGCCAUCGCGGGACCUCGUGCAGCGCCUCCUUAAGAAGAAUGCCGAACUCAAAAGUCAUCUUGAGAAGUCAGCACAGUCCAAAGUCCCAUCAGAUCCCAACAUAUGGCUUCAGAUGCGUGAGAAUUUUGAGAAAAUGAUUCUGGCAGAUCAUGACUUCUGUGAAAAGCAUGAGAUCGAGUAUAUUUUGUGGCAGUUGCACUACAAAAGAAUCGAGGAGUUCAGGCACCACAUUAGUUCUGCAGGUUCAGCUGCAUCUCAGAAUGGGAAGAACAAUGCCAACCCUGAUCGAAUUAAGAGAAUUAAGUCGGCCUUCAGGAGCUUCCUUUCAGAAGCAUCGGGCUUCUAUCAUGACUUGAUGUUCAAGAUCAAAUCCAACUACGACCUUCCUCUGGGUUACUUCUCGGAGUCUCCUGAGAAUGCAAGCAACCCUGGCAAAAAUGAUAAGAGAACAGCUGAUGCUAAGAAAGCCCUGAUAUCAUGCCACCGUUGUCUCAUAUAUCUUGGUGAUUUGGCCCGCUAUAAGGGUAUGUUUGGUGAUGCUGAUUCUGUAAGACGUGAAUAUAAUGCGGCUUCUAAUUACUACAAGGAGGCAGCUUCAAUCUGCCCUUCCAGCGGCAACGCACACCAUCAGCUUGCAAUAUUAGCUUCUUACUCUGGCAAUGAGGUGGUGGCUGUCUACAGAUACUUUCGAAGCUUAGCUGCAGACACUCCCUUCUCCACAGCACGGGACAACUUGAUUCUUGCUUUUGAGAAGAAUCGCCAGGGCUAUGCACAGCUGCCAAGCAACAACAAAGUUGCAAUUGCUAGGACAUUACCCCCACGGUCAGCUGGUAGGGGCAGAGGACGGGGCGAAAUAAGGUUUCAGCCCAAGGAUGUUAAUACUGAAGCAGCUUCAAAAGAGCGAGAGCAAAGUAUUCCUGAUACACUGAAGUCCUUCUUUGUACGGUUUGUUAGGCUCAAUGGAAUUCUUUUCACAAGGACUAGUUUGGAAACAUUUGAGGAACUGUUUGAUGUGGUCAUCAACGAUCUGAAAAUUCUCCUCUCUUCUGGUCCAAAUGAAGAGUUCCAUUUUGGUUCUGAUGCUGCAGAGAACGCAUUAGUUAUUGUUCGACUUGUUGCAAUCCUUAUAUUCACAGUGCACAACGUGAAAAAGGAACCAGAUAACCAGUCAUAUGCUGAAAUUGUCCAACGCAGGGUACUUCUUCAAAAUGCAUUUACAGCUGCUUUUGAGUUUGUUGGACAUAUUCUCAAAAGGUGCUCAGAACUUCGUGAUAUUGCAUCAAGUUUCUAUCUUCCAGCCAUUGUGGUCUACAUCGAAUGGCUGGCAUGCCAUCCGGAGUUAGCUGCUGAUUCGGAGAUGGACGAGAAGCAUGCGAAUGCUCGAUCUUUCUUCUGGAACCAGUGUGUCUUGCUUAUGAAUAAGCUCAUCCUUACAGACCUUGCGUCCAUUGAUGGUGAUGAUGAUGAGGCUUGCUUUUUUGAUAUGGGCGUGUAUGAAGAGGGUGAAACUGGCAAUCGACUUGCAUUGUGGGAAGAUUUUGAAUUAAGGGGAUUUUCCCCCUUGGUGCCUGCACAUAUUAUCUUGGAUUUCUCAAGCAAGCACACAUUUGGAAGUGAUGGUAGCACCAAGGAGAAGAAAGCACGGGCACAACGGAUACUUUCUGCAGGGAAGGCUCUACUCAAUUUUGUUCAGAUUGAUCAACUGAGAAUAUAUUUUGACCCAUCUUCAAGAAAGUUUGUUGUGGCCAAGGAGCCUCCUGUUUUUGAAGCUGCCACCUCUACUCAUAGAUCUCGCAAUGCACCUGAAACAAAUGCUGUUGAGCUGGAACAUGAAGUUGGUAACAAAUUUGAUGCAGUGGCAACUAAUCUUGGAGCAAUGCAGUCGGGAGCACAGUUGUGUUCCGAGGGAGAAGAUGAUGAAGAAAUUGUUUUCAAACCUACAGCGUCUGAGAAGCUCCCAAAAGUACUUACCGAACUACCCGUUAAUGGAUAUAUCCAGCCUCUACAAAUGUCUACUGCUGGGUGGCCAACAAUUGGCGGACCAGUUGCUAUUCAGAGUACUGCAUCUGCAUCAGGUCCUGGAAACUGUAAUGUUAACGAGUCACUUCCCAUGUCUUCUGGUGGUUGGGCUUUCAAUGGCAGGCGAGAGGCUAUUUCUAGCAAUGUUUCAAUGUCGACAACUUACGAAUUUGUGCAGCCUGUUGAGAUGGCUACUUCCAGCUGGGCAAGUAAUGGUGCACCACUUGUUGGCCCUCUGAACACAAUGCCUACUUUCUCAGCUGCCAUCUCUGACCCGCGUGUAUCUGCAGCAAUGGUUCCACAUUUUGGCAGCCCAGAUUAUUCAAAAUUGCUCCUUGAACAAGAAAAACUCUUAAUGAUGGGAUUAAAUAAUGUUCAUUUGGCUGGAAAUGGAUUUCCUGAGCAGAGGUUUCAGGGUGGGCCGAGUGGAUUACAGUCAAUGGUAUAUUCUCCACAUGUAUCUGUUGAAUCUGCGGGCAACAAUACAAGUUUGAUGCAUAAUCAGGUGAAAGCGACUGAAGAAACCAUCCCAUCCACUUCUGAUUCAAUUGUACCAUCAGUAGCAGCAUCUGGUGGGAUGACAAUCAAUCUCACUGACGCACCUGUAGCUGUAUCAAAGAAGAAUCCUGUGAGUCGUCCAUCAAGGCCCGUUGGUCCUCCUCCAGGAUUUAAUCACAUCACUCCAAAACGCCAUGAUGAUAUUAUGCCAUUUGAGAAGCUGCAGCACCAACAGAUCGAUGAUUACAGCUGGCUGGAUGGCUACCAGCCAUCACUGGAACGUGUUCAUAACUCAAAAGCUAUUUAUCCUGAUGUUGCCACUACCAGCAGUGCAUUCACCACUCCCUUCCCUUUCCCUGGGAAACAGCAGGUUUCUGGGGUGUACACCUUAGGGGCCAGUGAGAAAACAUGGCAAGAUUUCCACCUUUUUGACCCUGCAAAGCAGAAUAUGGUUCAAAACCACCAACAAAUUAAUCAGCAUAGUGGUCAAGUGGCUGAAAAGCAGCCGGCAAAACCUAUCGGAUCUGGCCGUUAUCUUGUGUGACGGAGUAGCUUGUACCUGGAUGGUUACUACUGGAGUCGCUGAGGAUCUGUUGGAGUAAGUGGCACAGCUUGAUAUACCUAUUCAAUUCGGACCCAUACCUGCAGCCCUUUCAUAGUGUUAAAUUUCUUUUGGAGAAUGGUGGUCUUGGAAGCAUAGCAAGUGCUGCUGUUAGGUUUGGGUGUGCCAGGUCUUCCGGGGCCAGUUGGAGGUUGGAGGGUGAUUUUGAUCUGGGGACUGUCUGAUGGAGAUGAAUUGUACGCAGAACGCUUGGAUGCUCAGGCAUGAGGGGUUUGAUCGAAGGAACUCGAAUCCAGUCACUGUAGGCGCGCUAUGUGCUUCAGCUCUCAUUGGAUAAACUGUCUACCUUACAGAGAAUGGCCAGUGUGUGGCUGCUGUGGUGGAGACUAAAUGCCGUUUAGUGUUGCUCGUGCUCAUCUAUGGCUACUAUGAAUUAAGUUCGAGGAACAGUUAGCUUGCUGGCAAGUUGGCCCUCGAAGUAUACUGCAUCUACUUAUGUUGCAUCGUUUGCGUUUGCUGUCGGCAACAGCACGUUAUAAUCAUCCUUCUGCGAGGAAGUUUUACUUCCAUAUAUCACUAUAUGAUUUGAACAAUUUGUUUUGGUCUUUGUUGUCCGGUACCGGUGAACUCAACUUUUUUUGUGCAAUAAGUUUCUUGUUACCUUGUCGUAUGCAAUGUCCGACUGAAU
rnacentral:rRNA from 1 species